GGUUCCUGAGAUGAUGCAGCUGGAAUGUGCUUGGCUGGCUGGCUGUCCUGAUCAGAACC
rnacentral:snoRNA from 1 species